rnacentral:lncRNA from 1 species
GUUCUUAUUCCCAUGCCGUAGUGAUUGGUGUUAAACUCCCCGUCUGUAGUUGCCACAAAGUAAACCAGACUUCUCCCUUGACCUUGAAGCCUGUCCUCUGUCCUCUUGCCCCCUUUGCAUCAGUGACUUAGUGCCUCUGUUCUGGAGCUGCUUAGGGUGGUGACAGCUCAGGCAGCCACAGGAAGUAACUGAUAGCAGUCUUUUGAAGACAUCUUGUUUUACCCCCUGCAGACCUGGUCACUGAGAGCUCUGGGUGUGGAGGCCUGUGGGUCAUGUGGCUUCUCCUACUGUGUAAUGGCCAAAGCUUGAUGAUGUUUUUACAUCUGUCCUCCACAUGGAUCUGAGUCUUGUUCCUUAGAGACGUAGGUACCAGUGACUCUUGUUGAAGAUUGGCUUCUGCUUGUCUGUCUUAGCCAGGGCGGACUGGGUCUUGGCAAACUAAAACAAUAACCAUGAGGGCCUUGCGGUAUAGCCGGUGGGCAGGUAAUGACCGUGUUGUGAGCUGCUGGCCUGCCCUUUGGUCAGGAUGCUGGGAAUCUCUGUCAUAGCCCAUGGCAGUGAGUUCUGGGCUGUCUUCCUGCCCCAAUUAUGAACUCCUGGAAGGAGAGUCCCUGGGCUUCUCAGUGGUUUUCCUUUUUCACCCUUUCUGUUCUGGUUUGGUGUGCAUAACCAGCAUAGACCAUUGAUUGGGAUCCUCCUGUCAGCUUGGGCAGGUCAAGAUGGCAGCAGAGGCUCAGUGCAACGCUUCUUCACCUUCCAGGCCUCACCCAUAAACCCAAGGCCUAUUAAAGGAAGGCCCAAGGCCGAGGAGUGCAUCACCCCCAGGAAUGCUAGAAUUUGGAUGUGUCUCACUGUGUUUUUGACACUGUCUUCCUUACAGAUUGUCUGGAUAUUUAUGGACAGCAGAGGGUCAGAGAGUGUACAGCGAGGCCACGCGGAGCAUCACCAGAACUUCAGCUUUUCACUCUGCUCAGGAAUUGGGGCCUGCAUGGGAGACUCCAGCACACCACGGCUCGACACCAGCACCUCAGGGCUCUGG